GGCUCAGAACGAACGCUGGCGGCAGGCUUAACACAUGCAAGUCGAGCGCSYMGCAAKGGGAGCGGCAGACGGGUGAGUAACGCGUGGGAAUCUACCCUUGACUACGGAAUAACGCAGGGAAACUUGUGCUAAUACCGUAUGUGUCCUUCGGGAGAAAGAUUUAUCGGUCAAGGAUGAGCCCGCGUUGGAUUAGCUAGUUGGUGGGGUAAAGGCCUACCAAGGCGACGAUCCAUAGCUGGUCUGAGAGGAUGAUCAGCCACAUUGGGACUGAGACACGGCCCAAACUCCUACGGGAGGCAGCAGUGGGGAAUAUUGGACAAUGGGCGCAAGCCUGAUCCAGCCAUGCCGCGUGAGUGAUGAAGGCCCUAGGGUUGUAAAGCUCUUUCACCGGAGAAGAUAAUGACG
rnacentral:rRNA from 1 species